GUAGGUGGCAAGCGUUGUCCGGAAUUAUUGGGCGUAAAGCGCGCGCAGGUGGUUCUUUAAGUCUGAUGUGAAAGCCCCCGGCUCAACCGGGGAGGGUCAUUGGAAACUGGGGAACUUGAGUGCAGGAGAGGAAAGUGGAAUUCCACGUGUAGCGGUGAAAUGCGUAGAUAUGUGGAGGAACACCAGUGGCGAAGGCGACUUUCUGGCCUGUAACUGACACUGAGGCGCGAAAGCGUGGGGAGCAAACAGGGAUUAGAUACCCUGGUAGUCCACGCCGUAAACGAUGAGUGCUAAGGUGUUGGGGGGGGUUUCCGCCCCCUCAGUGCUGCAGCUAACGCAUUAAGCACUCCGCCUGGGAGUACGGUCGCAAGACUG
rnacentral:rRNA from 1 species